rnacentral:rRNA from 1 species
CGGGUCUUGACAUCGGAUGCAUAACUAAGAGAUUAGUGAAGUCCUUCGGGACAUCCAGACAGGUGGUGCAUGGUUGUCGUCAGCUCGUGUCGUGAGAUGUUGGGUUAAGUCCCGCAACGAGCGCAACCCUUAUAAUUAGUUGCUACGCAAGAGCACUCUAAUUAGACUGCCGUUGACAAAACGGAGGAAGGUGGGGAUGACGUCAAAUCAUCAUGCCCUUUAUGACCCGGGCUACACACGUACUACAAUGGUGUUUAACAAAGAGAAGCAAAGCCGCGAGGUAGAGCAAAUCUCGAAAAAACAUCUCAGUUCAGACUGCAGGCUGCAACUCGCCUGCACGAAGUCGGAAUUGCUAGUAAUCGUAGGUCAGCAUACUACGGUGAAUACGUUCCC